UUCNNUGGGGGCACCCUGAUGGAGCAAUACCGCGUGCAGGAAGACGCUUUUCGGAGUGUAAACUGCUUUUAUUUGGGAAGAUUAUGACGGUACCAAAUGAAUAAGGAUCGGCUAACUACGUGCCAGCAGCCGCGGUAAUACGUAGGAUCCGAGCGUUAUCCGGAAUUACUGGGCGUAAAGCGUGAGCAGGUGGCACAUCAGGUCAGAUGCGAAAUCUUGCGGCUCAACCGUAAGACUGUGUCUGAAACCGAUGAGCUUGAGGUCGGUAGAGGCAAGCGGAAUUUGUAGUGUAGCAGUGAAAUGCGUAGAUAUUACAAGGAACACCAAUGGCGAAGGCAGCUUGCUGGGCCGCACCUGACACUCAGUCACGAAAGCGUGGGGAGCGAACGGGAUUAGAUACCCCGGUAGUCCACGCCGUAAACGAUGGAUGCUACCCGUGUGGGGUCUCGACCCUUUGCGCGGGGAAGCUAACGCGAUAAGCAUCCCGCCUGGGGGGUACGAGCGCAAGCUUAAAACUCAAAAAAAUUGACGGA
rnacentral:rRNA from 1 species